AACGCACAUUGCGCCCUCUGGUAUUCCGGGGGGCAUGCCUGUUCGAGCGUCAUUACAACCCUCAAGCUAUGCUUGGAUAUGGAUUAUACCUCUCAAUGAGCAGGUCAAUCUCAAAAUCAUUGGCGGUGCCCAGUGCAGACUUGGAGCGUAGUAAUCUUGAUACCGCUUUUCAAGUCCGCUGGCUACUUGCUUAUAGCACAAUAUAAUUGGUUGACCUCGGAUCAGGUAGGGAUACCCGCUGAACUUAA
rnacentral:misc_RNA from 1 species